GCGGGGAAAGGAGGAAGAACAGAGAGGAACUGAAUGACAGAGAGAAGGAAUGAAAAAGGACCAGGAGGGUUAAAAAGACACAGAGAAUGGGCAAAGUUUUAUUGUGUUGUAUUGUGUGAACAAGCCGUGACAGAGGCAAGCUGUUGGAUGGCGACAGUCUCUGAAAGGCCACAGUGAAGACAAAGACACUUACAUGUAUUAUAGGGGACAAGUGACAGAUGAGGACAAGGCAGGCCAGCACAGUAAAGAUGCAGUCAAACUCCACACUUCAUCCAAACUCAUUUCUGAAGGAUUUCUGAAGCAGUGCAAGACAUCUUUGAGGCAUUUUAAGCACAAUGUUUCGCUCGUGUCACCUGCCUCUGCAUUGCCCACCGGCUUUCCAGGAGGACCUCACCACAGCUCUCACCUGCCUUGUCUUGGACUGCAUUCCUGCUGUCUGUCUCCAGCCCACCGGCUUCCAGCUGUACCUCCACGCUUCUGGUUCCUCAUUGUGUGUUCUUCUAAAUAAACGGAACCUACUACUGCA